GACAAUGGUGGCUCUGAUUCAGAGGUCGUAACACCGACCAAUGAAUUAGUGCUAACAAGCCCUGGAAUUACUCUCCCUAAUUAGUGAAUAACCCUCGAAUAUAUAGAAAGACACAAAACAGAAACGCCGAAACGCGCGUCGAGCUUAUUUUUAUUUAUUUGCUUUACACUUUUUGGUAGCACUGACGGAUUGAUUUAUUUAAUGUUAUUUUAGUAUUUUUUUUGAAAGGCAGGGACUGAGGCUUUGGUAGGCACUUGUGAUUCUUCACAGUGCCGAGGUAAUUAGGGACAGAAGACUUCUUACAGGGGUUACUGUCUGGGCACUCCCUUUAUAUUGCCCCUCUUUUUUCAGUUACCUCUAUUUACCUAGGCUCCUUUUUGGAGAUUUAAAAUGUGUAGCAUUUGAACCCUAAGAUUAAAAAUUUGUUCAGCAGCCUUUUUAGUUAGUAACUGGUUCCCGGUGUCUAUUCUGGAUGGUCUAUUAUUAUCAAACUUCUCUCCACCUGUCCUGUUUUGUGUUCCCUUAGGAUUAUUAAAAGGUAGGGAUUCCCAUUUUUUCUUCUCUUAUUACUCUCCUACCCAGGACUUUUUCAGUCCUAUUUUCUGUUUUGUGUUUUUCUAUAUAUA